AAUUAGUUAAAAAAUACAUAAGUAAACCUAAUUACUACCCCCCACCCCUCCUAAAAAAAAAGAUUUUCCCUGGUGAUUCUGAUGUACAGCCAAGGUUGAGAAACACUACCUCUGAUUCAUUAAGUUAGAAUUUCUGAGCUGUAUCCCAGGUAAUUCUCAUAUGUAACCUGGAUUGAGAAGUACUCAUUCAGCUUCUACAGGCAUUGUAUCCCAUUAAUAUAUUUUCAUUUAUUUUCUGCUAUGUCCCAAGCCCUGUGCAAGACCCUGGGUGGAGGAGGGGGUGAGCUAACAGAUUAGGUCCAGCCUCGUAGGAAUUCACCGUCAGCAGCGGAGACUGAGAAGAUACACUUGAUGAGAGUAUGAGAGACAGAAGGCUGUGGGGUGGUGGGAGUCAGGGAGGUUUUUGCUGCAGUUAAAUUUCUAAAAAAUAAAUACAUUAAAAACCUA